rnacentral:sRNA from 1 species
GAAUGGUUGAGGGAUAUAUUGGGGGAGAAGAGAUUAUUUCUUCAAUUUUCGGAAACGAAAUACAUGGGAUGGUGUGGGUACUUCUAGUACUCGUAACUCGUAUUUUGAGGUGUUCCAUUGUUACUAACAGUACAGUAUAGUAUAGUACAGUAUAGUAUAGUAUAGUAUAGUAUGUUAAUGUUAAUCAUUAGUUAGUUAAUCAGUUUGUUAGCUGCUGCUCUUCGAUUCAAUGGGGGCAGUUGAAUUGAGAUGCGAGAUGCGAAAUGGAAGAUAUCUAGAUGGAUUGGACCAUGAGGUUUUUUUUUUCUUUUUUUUUGUGGGGGGGGGGGAAGUUUGAUGGUUGUUGGUUGCAUGCAUGUAUGUAUGUAUGUAUGCAUCUCCAGCGCAAAAAAGCGAG